UACGAAGGGGGCUAGCGUUGUUCGGAAUUACUGGGCGUAAAGCGCACGUAGGCGGAUAUUUAAGUCAGGGGUGAAAUCCCAGAGCUCAACUCUGGAACUGCCUUUGAUACUGGGUAUCUAGAGUAUGGAAGAGGUGAGUGGAAUUCCGAGUGUAGAGGUGAAAUUCGUAGAUAUUCGGAGGAACACCAGUGGCGAAGGCGGCUCACUGUCCAUUACUGACGCUGAGGUGCGAAAGCGUGGGGAGCAAACAGG
rnacentral:rRNA from 1 species